rnacentral:tRNA from 1 species
GCGGGGAUCCCAUAGCGGCAAUUGGGUCAGGCUUAGGACCUGAUGGCUUAGUGCCUUCGGGGGUUCGAGUCCUCCUCCCCGCA